rnacentral:rRNA from 1 species
AACGAACGCUGGCGGCAGGCCUAACACAUGCAAGUCGAACGCUGUAGCAAUGCAGAGUGGCAGACGGGUGAGUAACGCGUGGGAACCUUCCCAGUGGUACGGAAUAGCUCAGGGAAACUUGAGGUAAUACCGUAUAAGCCCCUUGGGGGAAAGAUUUAUCGCAAUUGGAUGGGCCCGCGUCGGAUUAGCUAGUUGGUGAGGUAAUGGAUCACCAAGGCGACGAUCCGUAGCUGGUCUGAGAGGAUGACCAGCCACACUGGGACUGAGACACGGCCCAGAAUCCUCCGGGAGGCGGCCGUGGGGAAUAUUGGACAAAGGGCGCAAGCCUGAUCCAGCAAGGCCGCGUGAGUGCCGAAGGCCUUGGGGUUGUAAAGCUCUUUUGGCGGGGACGAUAAUGACGGUACCCGCAGAAUAAGCUCCGGCUAACUUCGUGCCAGCAGCCGCCGUAA